rnacentral:ncRNA from 1 species
UGACAAGCCUAGAAUCAAUUGUAAACGACUUUUGUAACAGGCAAGGUGUUGUAAGUGCCUGAGCAGCUGCCAUACUGCGAUCCACUGAAGCUUAUCCUUUGCUUGAUGAUUCGA